rnacentral:rRNA from 1 species
CCUACGGGAGGCAGCAGUGAGGAAUAUUGGUCAAUGGGCGCGAGCCUGAACCAGCCAAGUAGCGUGAAGGAUGACUGCCCUACGGGUUGUAAACUUCUUUUAUAAAGGAAUAAAGUGAGGCACGUGUGCCUUAUUGUAUGUACUUUAUGAAUAAGGAUCGGCUAACUCCGUGCCAGCAGCCGCGGUAAUACGGAGGAUCCGAGCGUUAUCCGGAUUUAUUGGGUGUAAAGGGAGCGUAGAUGGGUUGUUAAGUCAGUUGUGAAAGUUUGCGGCGUAACCGUAAAAUUGCAAUUGAUACUGGCAGCCUUGAGUACAGGUGAGGUAGGCGGAAUUCGUGGUGUAGCGGUGAAAUGCGUAGAUAUCACGAAGAACACCGAUUGCGAAGGCAGCUUACUAAACUGCCACUGACAUUGAUGCACGAAAGUGUGGGUAUCAAACAGGAUUAGAUACCCUAGUAGUC